rnacentral:rRNA from 1 species
UACGGAGGGUGCGAGCGUUGUCCGGAAUCACUGGGCGUAAAGGGCGCGUAGGCGGCUCGGUAAGUAGGGGGUGAAAUCCUGCGGCUUAACCGCAGGGCUGCCUUCUAAACUGUCGAGCUCGAGCACGGUAGAGGCAGAUGGAAUUCCCGGUGUAGCGGUGAAAUGCGCAGAUAUCAGGAGGAACACCAGCGGCGAAGGCGGCGCUCUGGGCUGGAACUGACGCUGAGGAGCGAAAGCGUGGGGAGCGAACAGG